GGACGUUACGACAUACCUCUGGGAGAACUAGGUACCUGUGUAAAGCCAUGUUUCACCAGCGAUGACUGUGGCCGUUUUGAAUGUUGUGUAAGUUUAACACGUCCAAUAGCUAAACGCUCCGCUGACCUUGCCCAUGCACCAGGUGAAUGUGAACCGCUCGGAAAAAAAGGAACUGAGUGUCUUGUAAACAAUGGUUCUGGCCGACCGGACGGUAUCGUGUUCAAGUCUUGUCCUUGCAAGAAACGCCUGACUUGCGUGGGAUCUGGUGACAUCACAAUACCUCUUGGAGAGAGUGGAGUGUGUCAAAAACUAAAGAAGAAGAAGAAAAACUAAAGAUGUAAAGUUAAAUAUGAUGUUAAAUGACAUUAUUACAGUGUACUGUUUGUAAUGAAUGAAAAACUAAAGAUGUAAAGUUAAAUAUGAUGUUAAAUGACAUUAUUACAGUGUACUGUUUGUAAUGAAUAAAAACUAAAGAUGUAAAGUUAUGAUGUUAAUUGACAUUAUUACAGUGUACUGUUUGUAAUGAAUAAAAACUAAAGAUGUAAAGUUAUGAUGUUAAUUGACACUAUUACAGUGUACUGUUUGUAAUGAAUAAAAACUAAAGAUGUAAAGUUAUGAUGUUAAUUGACACUAUUACUACUGUUAGUGAUGAAUAAUUUUGUGUAAAGAAUGAAAUUAAAAUGUUAAAAGAA